GUGGGGAAUUUUGGACAAUGGGCGAAAGCCUGAUCCAGCAAUGCCGCGUGUGUGAAGAAGGCCUUCGGGUUGUAAAGCACUUUUGUCCGGAAAGAAAUCCGUCUGGCUAAUACCCGGACGGGAUGACGGUACCGGAAGAAUAAGCACCGGCUAACUACGUGCCAGCAGCCGCGGUAAUACGUAGGGUGCGAGCGUUAAUCGGAAUUACUGGGCGUAAAGCGUGCGCAGGCGGCUUUGUAAGACAGAUGUGAAAUCCCCGGGCUCAACCUGGGAACUGCAUUUGUGACUGCAAGGCUAGAGUGCGUCAGAGGGAGGUGGAAUUCCGCGUGUAGCAGUGAAAUGCGUAGAGAUGCGGAGGAACACCGAUGGCGAAGGCAGCCUCCUGGGAUGACACUGACGCUCAUGCACGAAAGCGUGGGGAGCAAACAGGAUUAGAAACCCCGGUAGUCC
rnacentral:rRNA from 1 species